UUUGGAUAGGGGAUAGGGAUAGGGACCCCUUAUCCCCUUUAUAUCCAAAUGCUAAUUUUUUAUCUGAGAACAGUAGUUAUCGAUUACCUAUAAUAAUCGGGUAUAACUAUUCCCACUAACACCUUCAUUUUCUAUAUAAAACUAUCUACUAUUUUUCUUAUUCCAUAUUAUCUAUCCAAACGUUAUUUUUCUUAUCCCUGGAAACAACUCAAUUUUCAUCCAAAUAUUAUUUUUCUUAUCUCCAUACUUGUACCUAUUCCUGUAAUAGCUAAUUCUUGCUUAUACCAGAACCAAACGCUAUAAAUAUAACUAGUAUGGAAUAACAU
rnacentral:lncRNA from 1 species